GAUGAACGCUAGCGGCAGGCUUAACACAUGCAAGUCGAGGGGUAUAGUUCUUCGGGACUUGAGACCGGCGCACGGGUGCGUAACGCGUAUGCAAUCUACCUUAUACAGGGGAAUAGCCCAGAGAAAUUUGGAUUAAUGCCCCAUAGUGUUAUCGAAUCGCAUGGUUUGAUAACUAAAGUUCCAACGGUAUAAGAUGAGCAUGCGUCCCAUUAGUUAGUUGGUAAGGUAACGGCUUACCAAGACAAUGAUGGGUAGGGGCCCUGAGAGGGAGAUCCCCCCACACUGGUACUGAGACACGGACCAGACUCCUACGGGAGGCAGCAGUGAGGAAUAUUGGACAAUGGGCGCAAGCCUGAUCCAGCCAUGCCGCGUGCAGGAUGACGGUCCUAUGGAUUGUAAACUGCUUUUGUACAGGAAGAAACACUACUUCGUGAAGUAGCUUGACGGUACUGUAAGAAUAAGGAUCGGCUAACUCCGUGCCAGCAGCCGC
rnacentral:rRNA from 1 species